GACGGAGGGUGCAAGCGUUGUUCGGAAUUACUGGGCGUAAAGCGCGCGUAGGCGGACCUGCAAGUCGGGAGUGAAAGCCCGAGGCUCAACCUCGGAACUGCCUUCGAUACUGCGGGUCUCGAGUCCGGGAGAGGUGAGUGGAAUUCCUAGUGUAGAGGUGAAAUUCGUAGAUAUUAGGAAGAACACCAGUGGCGAAGGCGGCUCACUGGCCCGGUACUGACGCUGAGGCGCGAAAGCGUGGGGAGCAAACAGG
rnacentral:rRNA from 1 species